CCUACGGGUGGCAGCAGUCGAGAAUCAUUCACAAUGGGGGAAACCCUGAUGGGGCGACGCCGCGUGGGGGAAUGAAGGUCUUCGGAUUGUAAACCCCUGUCAUGUGGGAGCAAAUUAAAAAGAUAGUACCACAAGAGGAAGAGACGGCUAACGCGGGGCCCGCAGCCGCGGUAAUACAGAGGUCUCAAGCGUUGUUCGGAACCACUGGGCGUAAAGGGUGCGGAGGCUGUUUCGUAAGUCGUGGGUGAAAGGUGCGGGCUCAACCCGCGGACGGCACAUGUUACUGCGAGACUAGAGUAAUGGAGUGGGAACCGGCAUUCUCGGUGUAGCCG
rnacentral:rRNA from 1 species